GUGGGACAAAUGAUUGGGGUGAAGUCGUAACAAGGUAGCCGUAUCGGAAGGUGCGGCUGGAUCACCUCCUUUCUAAGGA
rnacentral:rRNA from 7 species